rnacentral:rRNA from 1 species
UCCUACGGGAGGCAGCAGUUGGGCGCAAGCCUGAUCCAGCCAUGCCGCGUGUGUGAAGAAGGCCUUAUGGUUGUAAAGCACUUUAAGCGAGGAGGAGGCUACGGAUAGUGGACGUUACUCGCAGAAUAAGCACCGGCUAACUCUGUGCCAGCAGCCGCGGUAAU